ACAAGCGGUGGAGUAUGUGGUUAAUUCGAUGCAACGCGAAGAACCUUACCUGGUCUUGACAUCCCGGAGACCCUUAGGAAACUAGGGGGUGCCUUUCCAUCUGGAAGAAUCUGGAGACAGGUGCUGCAUGGCUGUCGUCAGCUCGUGUCGUGAGAUGUUGGGUUAAGUCCCGCAACGAGCGCAACCCUUGCCUUUAGUUGCCAGCAGUUCGGCUGGGCACUCUAAAGGGACUGCCGGUGUUAAACCGGAGGAAGGUGGGGAUGACGUCAAGUCCUCAUGGCCUUUAUGACCAGGGCUACACACGUACUACAAUGGCCGAUACAAAGGGCAGCGACACUGCGAGGUGAAGCCAAUCCCGUAAAAUCGGUCUCAGUCCGGAUUGGAGUCUGCAACUCGACUCCAUGAAGUUGGAAUCGCUAGUAAUCGUGGAUCAGCAUGCCACGGUGAAUACGUUCCCGGGCCUU
rnacentral:rRNA from 1 species